UACGUAGGUCCCGAGCGUUGUCCGGAUUUAUUGGGCGUAAAGCGAGCGCAGGUGGUUUAUUAAGUCUGGUGUAAAAGGCAGUGGCUCAACCACUGUAUGCAUUGGAAACUGGUAGACUUGAGUGCAGGAGAGGAGAGUGGAAUUCCAUGUGUAGCGGUGAAAUGCGUAGAUAUAUGGAGGAACACAGGUGGCGAAAGCGGCUCUCUGGCCUGUAACUGACACUGAGGCUCGAAAGCGUGGGGAGCAAACAGG
rnacentral:rRNA from 1 species